rnacentral:rRNA from 1 species
AUUGAACGCUGGCGGCAGGCCUAACACAUGCCAGUCGAGCGGAUGAAGGGAGCUUGCUCCUGGAUUCAGCGGCGGACGGGUGAGUAAUGCCUAGGAAUCUGCCUGGUAGUGGGGGAUAACGUCCGGAAACGGGCGCUAAUACCGCAUACGUCCUGAGGGAGAAAGUGGGGGAUCUUCGGACCUCACGCUAUCAGAUGAGCCUAGGUCGGAUUAGCUAGUUGGUGGGGCAAAGGCCUACCAAGGCGACGAUCCGUAACUGGUCUGAGAGGAUGAUCAGUCACACUGGAACUGAGACACGGUCCAGACUCCUACGGGAGGCAGCAGUGGGGAAUAUUGGACAAUGGGCGAAAGCCUGAUCCAGCCAUGCCGCGUGUGUGAAGAAGGUCUUCGGAUUGUAAAGCACUUUAAGUUGGGAGGAAGGGCAGUAAGUUAAUACCUUGCUGUUUUGACGUUACCAACAGAAUAAGCACCGGCUAACUUCGUG